CGCUAUCCCGUUGGUGCACGACCUAGCUCCAGCUCUGCUCCUACCACCCCUCGCCCUCCCCAUCUCUGCCGCCGAUCGUGAGGCCUCCAUGGACGGCGCUGCGGGGAGCUCCCGGAUGGGUCGGACGCCGGCCAUGGUCUCCACCGCAUCGCUGUGUGCCGUUGCUCUCGCCGGGACGGUGGCCUCGGGGCGGAGCAGGCGCGGGCCGGGGACGCCAACCACCGGGCGGGGCAGGCGCGUGCCGGAGGCGGCACCCUUGGGACGGAGAAGACGUGGGCCUGGGACGAUGACCUUGGGGCGGCGGCAGCGACCUUGGGUCCUUGGGGCGGAGCACACGCGGGCUGGCGGCGGCCACGUUGGGGCGAAGCAGGCCGGGGCUGGCGGCGUCCAUGUUGGGGCGGAGCAGGCAGGGCACGGCGGCGGCCCCUUCGGAGUGGAGCAGGCAAGCACACAGACGCCCAACACAGAUUGCGGGAGCCGGCCGUGGUCAUCGCCCCUGAUGUGUUGCUGGCUGCCGCUCCACGCCAUGGAGGUUGCCACAAGUGUAGACUGGAGACGCGGUGGUGCCCUCUACAUGUUAGAUAUGCGUGCAGCAGGCAACCUAGAUGUUGUUGUGCUCUAACACAGCAGGGGCGACACACAAGAGCUAUCUGGCGACUCAGCGAUCGACGAGCUUGCUGAACACGAGCAUGGUUGAUAUUCAGGCUACUACUGACACGGCCAGGAAGAAUUGGCAAUCUCUGAAUUGGAGUUUCUCAAUGAGAAAGGAGCACAGGAUGGCAUGUGGAGAGUACUCCUGGACGCACUUGCAUAAGAGACUGGGCAGCUGGAUCCAUCUCGGCGCAGAUCCUGCUCAGUUCUAACGAGCCACCCCUCUUGACGUAUGUGCGCCACAGCUGCUCCGGUAAGGUCCUGCUCGCGUGGGAUACCGCCUAGGGGUCACAACGGCAAUGCAGACAACUUUGGUCAAGGAUGUCUGGCGGCGAGGCCAUCUAUGUAAGACACUUGCGCGUGUCAUGGGCAUCUAGGAAGACAAAGAUUAAGAAAUCUAGAUGAAUUUGAUUUCAUCAUGGUCUGACUGUGAGGCUCAUUACUGUGCUUAUUCGCACAAGGUAACAUCAGUGCAGCCGAUCGCCUGGUUCUUUGCAUUUGCAAUGGGCAAAAAGUAAGACCAGUGCAGCCGACUACCUGAUUCUUUGCAUUCGCACAAUAUUCAGUCUCAGCGAGUCAUUUUAGGCUAACAUGAUUCACACUGCAGGGAUGAAUUAUUUAUAAGUUUAGCACAUUUCAUUUUCAGGUAUGCCGUGACAGCACGGAACGGUCAACUUAACGGAUUCCUUCCGUCCGUGCUCUUUCUGCGGGUUUCAGACAAGGGCUUAGGGAAAACUAAGAAAAAACUAAGGAGCUGGGAAAAACUGAGUACAACUAAGAACCUGAGGGCACGAAAAUAGAAAUCACUAUCCUCUAACAUCAGAAUGGGAUAAAUAGAGUCCUCUAUACACUAUCGUAAUAUCUUUUAGAUAUUUUAAAAUGAAUUAGAUAUGAACCAAAAUUAUUGAACCUACAAACUAAAAAAAAUGUGUAGGUAUAUGCAUUUACGAGAAAAAAAAAUCUUAAAGAAGGUCGGUGGUUAUGAGCUCAGUAUUUAUUUUUUCUUCUACUCCACCCGCUGACCCUUGUCAUAUCCAUAAUGCUCUCGAAGCUGCUGGCUUGAACCGAGUUGUUCCAAAGGAAAAUUUAAACUACUAGAGCCGGUGAAAAGAUCCACAUUGACCGUCGGUGAUUGAGCUCUCUCUGCCGCGGGCCCAAAGUAUGUGAUAUCACGUUGAAUGUCUCGCCACUAUCAACAAAAUAAAUAGUAUCCUCUUGUAUGUCUCCAUGAGCGGCAAUGGACUUGCAAAAGCGUUCGCUGACGAAAAACGCAUGCCCGUCUAACCCACCUGAAACCGGCACCCAUACGGAUGUCCUGACGUUCAACUCGAAAACUUCCAUCUUGCGGGUAAAGCUGACAUCAUAGUAUGGCCACUGUACUUGUCGCUUCACCACGAACAACUUCCCGCGUGACUUGACCAAGUACCAAAUGAUACCGACGAUGUCCUUGGGAUCGUUGGGCACCUCGUCGUCUUCCCAGUAGGUAAUGCCUGAGAACAACAUGUCAUCGCCAGUUUUCGCCCUUAUUUCUCUUAUAGCGCGCAUGCUAUCCUCCUCUUCGAUCAAUACUUCAUCAUAGCCGUUCUCGGCUCCGUAAUUGUCGUCGUCCUCAUCAACGUCCCUCCACACACGGAAAUAAUAAUUUCCAGGAGGGUGCUUGAUAAGGCGCGCAAAGCCCGUAACAUGGGGUAAGCCGUUGUUAUUGAAGGCAAUAUCGAGAGAGACAAGGUCCUCCGCUUGAGUGAUCCCAUAUAGUUUGUCACCGAAGAAUGCGAUGUCGAUGAUGUACAUGAAGGGAGCUGCUCGUGGCUCCGGCAGCCACACACCUUUCCCUGGCCGAAUCAAGAUGAUAGGGUGGUUCCAGUUGUUGGUCAUGACAGCGAUGAUAUCAUCGGGGGUGGACCGCAUGACCACCUUGCGAACCUCGAAAAGCUCGGAAACAUCGCCGAUGACAGCGUCGAGCUCGGGGAGCGGCACGGUCGUGUUGGAGAAAGGAUUGUGGAGGAAGUAGUAUCUACACUUAUUAUCGUCGUCGAGGCAGUCGAGGGCGAGCCAGCUGUCGGUAGAGCCAAUACAUCUCGCGUUCUUGGGCAGAGAGGGUACCCGGAGGCGCGAGCUACAGUCGGAGGGCGCCAUGAAGGAGCAAUCUGUCGUGACGAUCCACGGUAUCGGCCACGGAGCGGCAACGUGCUCGCGCAUCGCCGAACACCAGGACCGGCACACGGCCCUGAAGCGAGCGCCGUCGGCGUAAGCCGACUGGCCUGAGCGAAGCGCCGCCCGGAAGCGAGCGGCAUGGAAAGGAAGGAGCUGUAGGGCUUUAGAGCACAACGCAGAGAGGCGACUCCGGCCAGCAGGUGACUCAACGCGGUCCAUGACGAGGCGGUCGACGACGAGGCCCAGCAGUUCCGGCGGGAGUUGCGACCACGGCGGAAUCGCCGACGCCAUGGAUGCCGGUGGCUUGAUUGAGUUAGUGGAUCGCGUAACCUGCGUACUCGGAACGACCCGUACGUACUGGCGCGCGGCUUCACCAUAUAUGGAGGAAGAGAUGGUGUCCGAUUCAGAAAGGAGUCCGGGUCUUGCACGCAGCACGCCUCCACCGGGACUGAAGCCACGCAGCACGCGCGCAGUCAGAAAGGAGGCACGGGCCAGCCUAGCAAGCCAAGGGCGCGAGCCAGGACGGCUAGGCGCGGAAAAGGAUCCACACACAUACAGGCGCUCCUCUCCUGCUUAAGGCUGAAGCCGAGCAGAGUCGCUUUCGCACCAAAGCCGCUCGCCAGCCGCUCGCAUGGCUCCCAUCCAGUUGCGUUCGCACCAAAGUCGCUCGCUCGUCUGCUGCUGCCGGCCAGAUGCGUACGGUAGUAUCGGCAAAUUAACAACAAGGAACAAGUUUGGCCAAAUUAAAACGAGAAAUCUAUUUCUUGCCAGGGCACCAUCUAGUCUUAGGCAGUGCUCCCGAGCUGUGCCGUCCGAUUUCGAUCGGAUGACUCAUGUACAUUUGCCUCCCACCUACCACGUCCGAUAAUAAGAAAUUAAUCACGUCCAGGAGAGAGAGACCGCUCGUGAGCCCAGUAAAAUUCCCCAUUCGCUUGUCCUCCCUCAACCCCUCCGCUCUCUUCGCCUACACAAUCUCUUCGUCGGAGGCGACGAUCGGCAGCCACAUCGAGCAGUGAGGCGGCGGAGGGCGGUGGUGGCGCCUUGGGCGGGUGGCAGGGUGCAGGCGGAUCGGGCGGAUGGCGCGGUGGCGCUGAUUCAACGGCGACGGGCGCGAUGCAGUGGCCCGCGCUAAUUCAACGGCGACGGGCGCGAUGUAGGUCGACGGCGCGACGCGGUGGUGGCGCCUCGGGAGGGCGGCACGGUGGCGGUAUAUCGUGCGGGAGGCGCGGUGGCGGUGAUUCAACGGCGACGGCGACGGCGCGACGUGGUGGCGGAGAUUCAACAUCGAGUGCGCGCCGCAUCGCGCCGGUGAGUACCUCAGCCACAGCCUAUACCUCUCCCUCUAGGGAUCACCGGCUUCUUGUUCUGAAAGGAAUCCGCCCCACUCCCUUUGAUCUGAUCUGAAUUUUUGUCCCAAAGGGAAUGGGGUCCGAAUCCAGGCAGGCUAUUUCUCGAGCUACACCAUGAACAGAGAAGGACUCGCACAUGCUCAGAUUCCGAGCACAGCCUCAUCAAGGAUGUAACUGUAGCAGUUUUUCCCCAGUUCUAUUGGAACUAGAUGUACUUCCGGUGUUUUUUAUACAUGCAGAAUGAUGAAAAAAAUAGGAUGUAGUUUUCUCCAAUUUUAAAUGAAAGUUUUGCAUCCGGAUGUAUAUUUUAUCCUUUUUCUACAUCCGAAAUGUUGAAUUGAUUAACGUGUAAAAUACUAGUAUGUGUUUUGUGAUCCUAGUUUUUCUGCAUCUGAAUGUAAUUUUAUCCUUUUUUCUACAUCCAAAAUCUUGAACGGAUCAAGGUUGUGAAA